GACGAACGCUGGCGGCGUGCUUAACACAUGCAAGUCGAACGCUGAAGCUUGGUGCUUGCACUGGGUGGAUGAGUGGCGAACGGGUGAGUAAUACGUGAGUAACCUGCCCUUGACUCUGGGAUAAGCCUGGGAAACUGGGUCUAAUACUGGAUACGACAUGUCACCGCAUGGUGGUGUGUGGAAAGGGUUUUACUGGUUUUGGAUGGGCUCACGGCCUAUCAGCUUGUUGGUGGGGUAAUGGCUCACCAAGGCGACGACGGGUAGCCGGCCUGAGAGGGUGAACGGCCACACUGGGACUGAGACACGGCCCAGACUCCUACGGGAGGCAGCAGUGGGGAAUAUUGCACAAUGGGCGGAAGCCUGAUGCAGCGACGCAGCGUGAGGGAUGACGGCCUUCGGGUUGUAAACCUCUUUCAGCACGGAAGAAGCGAAAGUGACGGUACGUGCAGAAGAAGCGCCGGCUAACUACGUG
rnacentral:rRNA from 1 species